GGAAUUUUCCGCAAUGGGCGAAAGCCUGACGGAGCAACGCCGCGUGAGGGAUGAAGGCCUCUGGGCUGUAAACCUCUUUUAUCAAGGAAGAAGAUCUGACGGUACUUGAUGAAUAAGCCACGGCUAAUUCCGUGCCAGCAGCCGCGGUAAUACGGGAGUGGCAAGCGUUAUCCGGAAUUAUUGGGCGUAAAGCGUCCGCAGGCGGCCCUUCAAGUCUGCUGUUAAAAAGUGGAGCUUAACUCCAUCGUGGCAGUGGAAACUGUUGGGCUUGAGUGUGGUAGGGGCAGAGGGAAUUCCCGGUGUAGCGGUGAAAUGCGUAGAUAUCGGGAAGGACACCAGUGGCGAAGGCGCUCUGCUGGGCCAUCACUGACGCUCAUGGACGAAAGCCAGGGGAGCGAAAGGGAUUAGAUACCCCAGUAGUC
rnacentral:rRNA from 1 species